GUCCACGCCGUAAACGAUGUCGACUAGCCGUUGGAGACCUUAGUGUUUAGUGGCGAAGCUAACGCGAUAAGUCGACCGCCUGGGAGUACGGCCGCAAGGUUAAACUCAAAUGAAUUGACGGGGCCCGCACAAGCGGUGGAGCAUGUGGUUUAAUUCGAUGCAACGCGAAGAACCUUACCAGGUCUUGACAUCCAGAGAACUUUCCAGAGAUGGAUUGGUGCCGCAAGGAGCUCUGAGACAGGUGCUGCAUGGCUGUCGU
rnacentral:rRNA from 1 species